rnacentral:rRNA from 1 species
UUGUCGUAACAAGGUUUCCGUAGGUGAACCUGCGGAAGGAUCAUUA